CGGACGGUUGGCGCAAUUGGUAGCGCGUUGGUUUUCGGUUCCAGAUGUUGCUUCGAUUUCUUCGAAACUCAAGCAAUUAAAACCGCCAAAGGUUAAGGGUUCGAGUCCCUUGCUGUUCGC